rnacentral:rRNA from 1 species
AUUGAACGCUGGCGGAAUGCUUUACACAUGCAAGUCGAACGGCAGCACGGGGCAGCCUGGUGGCGAGUGGCGAACGGGUGAGUAAUACAUCGGAACGUGCCCAAUCGUGGGGGAUAACGUAGCGAAAGUUACGCUAAUACCGCAUACGAUCUACGGAUGAAAGCGGGGGAUCGCAAGACCUCGCGCGAAGUGGAGCGGCCGAUGUCAGAUUAGGUAGUUGGUGGGGUAAAGGCUCACCAAGCCAACGAUCUGUAGCUGGUCUGAGAGGACGACCAGCCACACUGGAACUGAGACGCGGUCCAGACUCCUACGGGAGGCAGCAGUGGGGAAUUUUGGACAAUGGGCGCAAGCCUGAUCCAGCCAUUCCGCGUGCAGGAUGAAGGCCUCGGUGUAACUGACUUUGUACGGAACGAAACGGCGAGCUCUAAUACACGUUUGCUAAUGACGGUACCGUAAGAAUAAGACACCGGCUAACU